GUUGUUAAAGCGUUAAUGUCUCACAAUCAAGGGACGGUUAGCUGGAGUUUUUCCUUCGUUCCCAACACAACGAUAACGAAAGACUUCCAGAUGGCCUGCUUUUCUUGGUACAUUGACAACCCUCUUUGGUCCUCAUUUUAAAUGACAUUACCAACAGGUUUCAAAUGAAAAUACCACACUUCGAAUCAUCUGUUGGAAUUUUUAAUAAUACAUAUCCAGCCAAAUAGCAGGAGUUGUCCAGAAGAGAGAUGGCACAUGUAUAUGUGGGGACUCAAUUCUCUUCCAGAACACAGUGGGCAGAACCAAAGAAGAAAAAUAAUCAUAACAUCCACUUACCUACAAUACUUCCGGUUUCCCAAAAUGGCCACUGCACCGCAAUCCCGUCUCCUAAUACCAUUGAUGACGUCACUUCUGGCUACUAACAAUUACGUCAUUUUCGGCCCUCUGUAAUGACGUCACUUCUGGCUACUAUGGAUGAUCUCAAUCCAGUUCCGCCCUGAUGGCAUCACUUCUGUCUGUCUGCUUUGGUGUCAUUUCCUGUGUUAAAUAAUUUCCUGCCACCAUUUUGCAUAUA